UCAAACAUUAAAAAUGCUUUCUGUGUACAGUCUUUCUUUGUAAAUAACUCAUGCGCACAUGCGGCUUAUAGUCCGGUGCGGUUUAUAUAAGGAAAAACCGAAAAUAUCCCCGAAUCUUAUCUGGUGCGGCUUAUUGUCCGGUGCGGCUUAUAGUCCAAAAAUUACAGUACGUUAGAUUAUCAAUACUGCAAUUUCCUCACCAUAAGGCGCUUGGGGUCAAAAGGUGCGGACUCAAUUGCAGGGGCUUUUCUGCACUUCAUUCUGCACUCUGUACUUCAUGCACACACAGGCAGCGCAUUAUAGGGCACAUGCAUACCAUGACUUAUGGCGGGGGGGGUUAACAAGACAGUGAGUUGUACUUUAUUCUACUACUGUAUUUUUUGCACCAUAAGGCGUUUCAGGUUAAAAGGCGCAGACUCAAUUCCGGGUCUUUUCUGUAUUUAUUCCACACAUAGGACGCACCGCAUUGUAGGGCAACAUGCAUGCCAUGACUUACGGUAAACAAAAAACAUCACGGGAGCAAGGCAAUGAGUUUGGUUGAUUUAUUCUUACUAGUUAAUCAUGUACUCUACUGUACUCACAUAAUUGUUAACCGAUAUUCAUAUGCAAAUCUAUCAAAGUUCUCAUCUUCAAACAUGAUACAUUUCCUCUUGUCAUUGUCACGUUGCUCUUCUGCAAUUAUCCUGGCUUUUCAGAAAGCUCUAAUUGUGCCUCGUAAGCAUGUUUCUUUGUCUAUGCCAGGUCCGAAUGCUGUUUGCUUUGAACAAACGAUAGUACCGUUUUGGCCCGAAUAUAAGAUGUUUUUUGCAUUGAAAUAAGACUGAAAAAGCGGGGGUCGUCUUAUAUUUGGGGUCUAGACAUUAUACCCAAUUUCACUUGUGGCAACGGUAAGAGGCUAGUAUCGACUGAGUAUGUUGCUGUGAUCGUGUGCGUCUUUGACACAAAGUGAGUGAAUGAAGGUGUAAAAAAAAAAAAAAAAAAAAAAAAAAAAAAAACCACACCAUCUCAAAGUAUUGUAAAUCUCAGUUUGUGCGUUACAAUUUCAGGACAGAAAAAGAUGCAAAAAUAUCCAAAAAUAUCGAUUAAAUUGCUUAUUUCUUGACCACAUUUAGUCUGUCAAUAUCUUGAAACCAAUUUGUAACAGUCUAUAUGGUAAGCAAGCUACUAUACAGCGAAACAUGAGAUCAACCGAACAGAAAUAAGAUUGCCAUUGCAGUAAUAUAUAAUCAUUAAUUGGCCCUAAACCCAGACUGAAAUGGUUUAAAUUGACUGUUAGCAACCAUUUCAUCAUUAAGUUGCUGCGCUACUACCGUUUUUUUCCUUGUAUAAUGCGCAAAAUUUAACUAAUUUAUUGUCCUAAAAUCUGGGGUGCGCAUUAUACAUGGGUACAAAAAAUUCUUUUUUUUUUUUUUAAAUUCUUUUUUUUUUGUUUGUUUUAAGUACAACAAAACCAACAACAGGACUGACCGACAAAGACGUGGAACAAAAAGACAGGGUGACAUUACCAAAGACAGGAACAGAAACCAAACAGACAUCAUGACAUCAUCCGACGGUGAGCGAGGGGCAGACAGGACUUAAAUACAAAACACGUUACAUUGAUUGAGGUGAUACAGGAAGAGAGGAGCGACGCGAACAGAAACUAUGGCAACCUAGACACAUAGCAAAACUGGGGAUGAGACAUGACAAAUCUCCCUCGAAAUCAAACUUGAAAUCACCUUUCUUCUUGUUUGUUGUCAAUCGCGCAUCGCAUUCAGCCAUUCUGCCCAACACACUUAGUCAGUAAAAUUCAUAAUUGACGACACAUCGUUUGAUGCGAUGGUGCAAUCCUUGAUGGUGUGUUAUUGUCAAAUAUUGUUUGUUUUUUAAUCUCCAUCGCGGACCGGACGUCAUACGAAGGCAGUAUAACUGCGCAUGCGCACUAUGGAUCAGCUGCGCAGAACGGAUGCGCAAGACACGUCAGCUAUAUAAAGAGCGAGAGUUGAUUUCUUCCUGUUAGUUUAAAUUCACAGUUUAAUUAGCAGUUUCAAUCAGCGAAUAACAAAAUGCGUAUUACAGGUAAUAUUUGAUUUCACAACACUUUGCCUUGUUCCUUUCGUCGCUGCUGUUCACUUCAAACACGCUUCAUACGACCGCAAUGCUCUCGUAUCAGACGCUUGCUCGAUCACCUGCUCGUUUGCUGUCUGUCACAAUGUACCCUACACAAAUCCGAAACAUUUGUUGCGGCUCCGAGUCACGACGAGGGGCAAGUUUUGGUUUCCAAGGGUAUUUUUAUUCCUCUUCAACGUCUCUCCCAUACAGAGCCGCCUUUUUCACGUCCGCACGCCUCUUUCCCGUGCGCGCACGGAGCGCGGUGGUGCGUUUACGGCAGUCGGAGAAAUCAACGCCAACAAAAAAAAUUACAUCCAGCCUAGUUAAGACCAUACCAAAGACUAUAAAAAUGGGACCCAUUGCCUCCCUGCGUGUGUGACGAUCAUUGGGACUAAAAAAAAAAAAAUUCAUAAAAAUUGGGUGCGUAUUAUACAUGGGUACAGGCUUUUUUCCAGCAUCAGCAUGCCAUUUUUAGGGUGCGUAUUAUACAUGGGGGCGCACUAUACACGGAAAAAAACGGUACUUUAACAUGUCUUUCUAAACAUUGCCUGUGACGCAGCAGUAGUACCGCAGCAACACGGAAGUGUGUACGUGAGUUAUUAACAAAGAAAGACUGGACACAGAAAGCUUUUUUAAAGUUUUAACAACAUACCUUAAUAUUUCUUUCCAAACACUGCCUGUGACGCGGCAGUAAUACCGCAGCAACACGGAAGUAACACAGCACUAAUAGGGUUUGAUUAAAUAAAACAUACCGGUAAAAGUCACUGAGACGCGGCGGUAACACAGCAGCAACACGGUAGCACAGCACUAACAGGGCUGAUUAAAAAAAGCACACAAGUAAAAGUAAAAAAAAGAGCUUCAUCGUCUUCAUCUUCCUCCUGUGCAUUGAAACCAUCGAAGUCUUCCGAUUGGAAUAGCGUUAGUUAUCCUUUGCCACACAAUUUGUCAGAAUCUCUUUUGUUGUCGGUUUUAUACAUUUCUUCUAGCAUUUUCUAUGAUGAGGGUCUGUUCAUGCUAAUUUUAUUCAUGCACGAAGCGCUAAAUUACAUUAAACUAGCGAGCAACACGUAUAGCUCCACAGUAGACGGGACAACGAAAUAAAGAAAAGGGUGACGCAACACAAUGUCAUCGACUGCCUUCAUAUGCAUUUCUUUUGUCACCCAUAAUGUUUGUGUAUAAAAGCUUCCUUUCAGUCAUGUCCGUCUUGAUCUCGUUCUGUCUCUUCUUUGUGUGAAUUAUACGUCACUAUUUGCCUGGCGGAUGGACAUGCAAUCAACACACCACUUUUCUCCCCAGUGACCGUGUCAUACAUCCCUCCGCCCAGCAAAGCGGUGCCGCACAACAGUGGUCCACAGCCUUUUUACAAGUGUAUAAAAGUGAUCAAGUCAUCACAAAAAUCACGGAAAAAUCCUAUAUAAACCGCACCGGACUAUAAACCGCAGGGUUCAAAAUUUGAGAAAAAAGUCCAGGUUUAUAGUCCGAAAUUUAUGUUAGUUCUUUGACAAGUUUCCUGGAAGCGGGUCGAGAAAGCAAAUUGUCUAUUUAGCCGCACAAACCAAUUGUGUCCCGACUGGGUGUUUGGAACAGUAACCGUGAUAUCAUCCCGAAUGGAUUGAAUCUUUCGAGUGAAAAAAUUCACAAAAUCAUCGGCUGAGUGGGAGGAACUAUUGGAAGGUGCUUGCCAAGGAGAUGAAUUUAAAAGAAUUUCAAGGAGGACCUUCUUGGUGUUAUUGCUUUAUGCAACGCAAUCGCUUCUCUAUCAGAGCAAGGACAUCGAUGCCCCGAAAAUUCCCAGCAGACUUCCGUGAGUUCAUUGAGAAGCAUGUAAGUGAGCACAAUGUGACACCGAUCAUAUUAUUAACAUGGACGAGAUCCCCCUCACGUUUUACAUUCCCAUGGGCCGAAGUGUAGCAGAAAAAUAGCAGAAGAGUGUUAAUAUACUAACAACUGGUCAUGAGAAGUCACAGUUCACAGUGGUGCUGGCAUGUUGAGGAAAUUGCUCAAAAUUGCCACCAAUGGUCAUUUUCAUUUGUUACAGAUGUAUUUAUUUUCUGUAUAGAAAUUAAAUUUGGUGUUCAAAAAGUAUUUUUCCAAACUCGAGUCUUGAAAAAGAGGAGGUUGUCUUAUAUUCGGGGUCGUCUUAUAUUCGGGCCAAUACGGUAUUUCUUUAUCUAUCAAUGGCGGUGGACGUACGUAGUCUAAAGGUUACGUAGUUCUCUGCUUGUUUUUUUGCCACAAUUUACAUAAAACGUAAUGUCCUCUGAUUGGUUCUUCGGGUCUACAUAUUGCGCGUGUAUACUACAUCUCUGUGUGGAGAAAGCCACACGAAACACCUUUACAGAUUUGCACAAACGAUAGUAGUAGACGUCAUGAUGGCGCCGCGGAUGGCUGCCACGGUGAGUCGCCCUCCGCUACUUUGUGUUAUUUUGUGUUUUCUGUGUCCUCUGCUGUCCAUCCCGGAUCACUUUUACCAGAGAAUAACUGUUAAACAUCGGACAGUCUUCUCCUGGUAUUUUCUCUCCAGUUCUCUCUGAUCCAGACUGUUUGACGGAGAUGUUAGCCAGAGCGGCGGUGCAAUACAAGCUAGCACACCAAAGAUGACGUGGCAAACGCGCCGGACCCCUCGUAAAGCUGAGGCAGAGAGGGUUCCGUUCUGCCCUACCAUCUGGCGAAUGUCCGCUCCCUGGCAAACAAGAUGGACAAAAUGCUGCUUCUCUUUUAAAAGAGCACAGACUUCGGAUCCGCCGUGCUGUGCUUUGAUGAAACGUGGCUUGACGGACGCACCCCCCACCACGCCGUGGAGUUAGCUGGGUUUUGGCUAAUGCGUGCGGAGCUCACCGGAAAAUCAAAGGGAAGUGGUUUAUGUUUCUAUAUUAAUGAUUGUUGGUGUACUGUUGGUGUUGAAAGAGUCUUGCAGCCCUCUCCUAGAAACACUUUUCAUAAACUGCCGGCCGUUCUAUUCACCACGGGAGUUCUCCUCGAUCGUCAUAGCGGCUGUUUACAUUCCACAACACGCACGUGCGAGUAAAGCCACCCAGAUGCUGGCUGACCAGAUGACAGACAUGGAGAAACUUUUACCAAAUUCAUUAAUCAUUGUUCUGGGUGAUUUUAACAGGGCGAACCUUGCACACGAACUCCCCGAAUACAGACAGGACAUAACGUGUGCCACCAGAGAGGCAUAGACACUGGACCACUGCUACACCAUAAUAAAGGAUGAAUACCACUCUGUGGCUCGUGCAGCUUUAGGACUCUCAGACCACUGUCUAGUUCAUCUGAUCUCGGCCUACAGGCAGAAAUUAAAAACUUCUAAGCCUGUGGUGAGGACUGCGAGGAAGUGGACAGUGGAGUCAAAGCAGGACCUCUUUGACUGUACCGAUCAGCGAGUUUUUGAAGCUGCAACUUCAGACAUACAUGAACUCACUGACACUGUCACAUCAUACAUUAGUUUUUGUGAGGAUCUGUGUGUGCAGACUAAGACCUUCUGCACGCACAACAACGACAAACCUUGGUUUACACCGAACCUCAGGUUGCUGUGCAAAGCCAAGGAGGAGGCCUACAGGAGUGGCGACCGGGACAUGUUCAAGCAGACCAGAAACACACUAAACCGAGAGGUCAGGAAAGCCAAGAGGUGUUACGGGGAGAGCCUGGAGAGACACCUCUCUGCCAAUUCUGAUCCCUCAACAGUGUGGAAAGGUCUGCAGAGCAUCACGGGCUUUAAGAAGCCAACGCCCCGUCCUAUAGAGAGCCCAAGGCUUGCAAACCAGCCAAAAAGGUUUUACUGCAGGUUUGAUCGGUCCUGCCACACAACAGGACCGCCUGCAGAACAAUCAACAUACUCACCUCCCCCCUCAACCGUUCUGUCCACACCUCCAUCAUCGUUAUCAUCUACUCUCUCUCUUACAGAAGCCGCGCCCGCACUCGGACCACCUCCUCGCAGAUCAGAUGUUCCGGAGACAAAAUGUCAGGAAGGUACCAGGCCCAGACGGCGUGUCCCCCUCCUGCCUGAAAGUCUGUGCUGAACAACUAGCACCCACCUUUGCACGGAUCUUCAACCGUUCCCUGGAGCUGUGUGAGGUGCCCUUGUGCUUCAAGAGCUCCACCAUCGUACCGGUGGCCAAGAAGCCCGCCAUCACAGGUUUGAAUGACUGUGGACUUGUCGCCCUGAAAUCUGUGGUCAGGAAAUCUCGAGAGGUUAGUGUUAAACCACCUGAAGGACGUCACGGGCCCCCUGCUUGACCCCCUCCAGUUUGCCUACCGGGCAAGCAGGUCGGUGGACGAUGCCAUCAACAUGGGACUGCACUACAUCCUGCACCACCUGGACACCCCAGGAACGUACGCCAGAAUCCUGUUUGUGGACUUCAGCUCAGCGUUCAACACCAUCACUCCUGACAUCCUCCAACAGAAGCUCAUCCAGCUUGCGGUGCCUGCCUCCAUCUGUCAGUUGAUAACCAGCUUCCUGACCAACAGGAGACAGCGUGUGAGGCUGGGUACAAUCACAUCCGACACCCGGACCACCAAUACCGGCACCACUCAGGGGUGCGUCCUCUCCCCACUGCUCUUCUCUCUCUACACUAACGAUUGUUCCUCAGGCGACUCUCCUGUGAAGUUCCUGAAGUAUGCAGACGACACCAUUCUCAUCGGCCUGAUCCAGGACGGUGACGAGACUGCGCACAGACAGGAGGUGGAGCGGCUGGUCCACUGGUGCAGCCAAACCUACCUGGAGCUGUAGACCGUGGAGAUGACAGUGGACUUCAGGAGAGACCCUUCACCACUUCCACCCCUCACUAGCCACAGUAAUACUAUUCUCUCCACAGACACCUUCAAGCUCCUGGAAUCCACAGUCUCUCGAGACAUGAAAUGGACCAGCCACGUAGACUCUGUCCGGAAGAAGGCCCAGCAGAGGCUGUACUUUCUGAGACAGCUCAGGAGGUUCAACCUGCCACAGGGGCUGCUGAAGACCUUCUAUACUGCCAUCAUCCAGUCUAUCCUCUGCACUUCCAUCACUGUCUGGUUUGGAUCGGCCUUCAAACAAGACAAGUACAGACUAUAACGGACAAUCAGGACUGCAGAAAAGAUAAUUGGGAUCAACCUCCCAUCUAUCCAGGACUUGUACCUGUCCAGGACCAGGAAAUGUGCAAGUAACAUCUUGACAGACGCUUCUCACCCAGGUUGCAGUCUGUUCGAACUACUCUCCUCUGGACGGCGUUAUCGAGCCCUGUACGCCAAAACCAGCAGACACAGAGACAGCUUCUUCCCCCAGGCUGUCGCUCUGAUGAACUCACACCAAUCUUAGAGUCUCAGAGUCACGUUUGUGCAAUAACAUCCUGCUCUCCACGCCUUUUUUGAAUUGUCUAUUGUCUAUAUGUGUACCGUGUCCACUCUGCAUCCAUUGCAGCCUGGUCAUCCUAGAAGAGGGGUCCUCCCAUCUGUGGUGUCUUCUCAAGGUUUCUUAUUUCCCCGAGUUGGAGUUUUGAGUUUUCCCUUGCCCUCCUUGGAGUUUAAGAUCAGGGGCUGUUUGAGAAUAUUUGUCAAUUUGUUUGAGUGUUGUUAGUCACCUAAAUGUUGAACAGAGGCUGUGAUGUACCGAAGUCAAAUUCCUUGUUUGACAUGGCGAACAAAAAUUAUUGAAUCAUGAAUUUAAUAAUCAAUGGUGGCGGAGGUACGUACUCUACAUGUUACUUACACUCUGAUUGUUUUUUGGCCCCGAUCUACAUAAAAUGUAAUGUCAUCUGAUUGGUUGAUCGGGUUUACAUAUUACGUCUGUCUAUUACGGAAGCCACACAAAACAACUUUACAGAUUUUUGAAUUCGGUCUCCACAAAAGGUGCACCUUAUUAAACGGCGCACCUUUGUGGUUUUGAGAAAAUUAAAGGCUUUUAAGUGCGCCUUAUGGUGCAGAAAAUAUGAUAAUUGUUUGUUCAUUCAUGCGAAGACACAGCUAAAGCCUAUUGACAAAUAGGAAACAGAAUAUUCUAAAGAGCUCUGUCAGCUUUUACAUUUUCUUAUGACAACUUACUUUUUUAAUUUUAGAAAAUGACAAGUCAAACAUGUUGCUUAACUCUACAGUAAGCUUUACAAAAAAAUAUUUAUAUACAUAGUGGACAUUACCAAAAAUGUCUUGAAGCUCUGUAGUUUGUACUGAAACUACACAAAACAAAAUAGUAUCGGCCUUCAUAAUCACAAAGUGAUUCUAUAACAUAGUUACAUGCAACUGUUUGUAAAUUCCUUUUUAAUAAUUACCUUAUUUUCUAUAAGUCGCAGUUUUUUUUCAUAGUUUGGUGCGACUUUUACUCUGGUACUCUGGUAAUUAUUAAUUUAAUUUAUCACUUCACGUUAUUUUUACUUUAAACCACAUGAGAGCGAUCUCGGCCUGUGGAAUAAUUGGAACUGGAAUUGACGAGGCGUCUGAUAUCCACUGACUACCACGAUCCACUGACUUCCGAAGUCAGCAGAGUUGUUUAUAAAUGAUACGGAGGACAACGAUUUUGAUGGAUAUAAUAAUUUGGAGUGACACGGAUGGUUGGAUAAACUUAUUUAUGUUAUAGCUAGUUGAUGUAUAGUUUAUAUAUACAGGACUGUCUCAGAAUAUUUGAAUAUUAUGAUAAAGUUCUUUAUUUUCUGUAAUGCAAUAAAAAAAACAAGAAUGUCA